ACCUCUUCGUGAAGAGGCGAAGAUACUCAUAUAAGACGAGAAGACCCCAUGGAGCUUAAAACUUAAUAACACCCUCUUACACAAUAAACCAUAAUAAACAAGAGUCCUGUUAGACGUUUUUGGCUGGGGCAUCCAGGGAGAAUAAUCUAACCUCCCUGACGAAUUUACCUUCGAACUACAACUCCAAGGUAUAGAAAACUAAUGUAAUACGACCCGACAAUCGAUCAACGAACCAAGUUACCCUGGGGAUAACAGCGCAAUCCAUUUUGAGAGCCCCUAUCGACAAAUGGGUUUACGACCUCGAUGUUGGAUCAGGGCAUCCCAGUGGUGCAGCCGCUACUAAAGGUUCGUUUGUUCAACGAUUAAAGCCCUACGUGAUCUGAGUUCAGACCGG
rnacentral:rRNA from 1 species